GAUGAACGCUAGCGGCAGGCUUAACACAUGCAAGUCGAGGGGCAGCGGGGUGUAGCAAUACAUCGCCGGCGACCGGCGCACGGGCGCGUAACACGUAUGGAACUUGCCCUUUACUGGUGGAUAGCCCGGAGAAAUCCGGAUUAAUACCCCAUAACAAGCGGAGUGGCAUCACUCUGCUUUGAAUGCUCCGGCGCUAAAGGAUGGCCAUGCGCCCGAUUAGCUAGUUGGUGAGGUAACGGCUCACCAAGGCUAUGAUCGGUAGGGGGCCUGAGAGGGUUAUCCCCCACACUGGUACUGAGACACGGACCAGACUCCUACGGGAGGCAGCAGUGAGGAAUAUUGCGCAAUGGAGGCAACUCUGACGCAGCCAUGCCGCGUGCAGGAAGAAGGCGCUACGCGUUGUAAACUGCUUUUAUCCGGGAAGAAACCCCUCCACGUGUGGAGGGUUGACGGUACCGGAGGAAUAAGCACCGGCUAACUUCGUGCCAGCAGCCGCAGUAA
rnacentral:rRNA from 1 species